rnacentral:lncRNA from 1 species
AUAGGGAGUUUUCAGAUGGGAAAAUAGGAAAGGGGAUAACAUUUGAAAUGUAAAUAAAUAUCUAGUUUUUGUUUUUUUGGUUGGUUUGUUUGUUUGGUUUUGUUUUGGUUUUUUUUGUUUUUGUUUUGUUUUGUUUGUUUUGUUUUGUUUUUAAAGAGUAUACCCCGCUCUUGGAGAGAACACCCACAUUGGUUCCUGGCAUUCACAACCUUUAGGGACUUCAGUUCCAUGGUAUCUGAUGCCAUCCUCUAGACCCUGGGGUCAUCAGCACUCACACAGGCAUGUUCCUCCAUAGUGACAGAAAUAUGUAUAUGUGUGUGUGUAUUAUAUAUAUAUAUAUAUAUAUAUAUAUAUAUAUAUAAUUUAAAAAUAUUUAUAGUUGUUUCUUGAUAUUUUUAGAAUUGUAAUUAAAACACAAUUAUAUUGCUUCCCUCUUCUCUUUCCUUGUGUUUUUUCAAAAGCUUUGUGGGUAGGUCACCAUGCCCUUAGAAUUCUGGAUUAGUUUAAGUAACCGAGUAUUUGAUAAAAAUAAACCUAUCAUUUCAUGAGUGGACUUGAGAAUCUCAAAUUGCGAAUGCAUGAUAUUGAUUUCAGAUUUAGAUGUUACAUCAACUCAUCUAAGAUUGCUGGUGAACAGCCUUCCCCUACUGCUUCAAGUGCCCAAACCUUAGGAAGGUCAGCCAGCCUUCAGAAAGCACUUAGGAAGCAUUUUAUCUACAGAUACUCUGCCUGGAAGAAGGAAGACACUAAGCCAGGGUUGAUAAUUGGAGUAUUUUGUUAUCUCUGGGAUCUUGGAAUCUUCAAAAUAAUUGCCUCAUGUUUUUGGCUGAGUACAGAUAAUUCAUGAGGCAGACUGGUUACGAACAGCUGUGUGUGUGUGCUGUGAAAUGACAGAAGGCAGGUCUGAGCCUCUGCCUUCUCAGUAACACUGUUUCCCUCCGUCCCUGAGGACAUCUGACAUCUUCAAUUGCAUUAGGACUCACCCCUGCAUUGAAAUCACAGCUUCACAGGCAGAACACAGCAGACAGGUGAGAAGUCCCCUGAUGGUAGAAAACCUCAUAAUUUAAGAUACAUUUUUGACAGAAAGAUUGUUGAUGGAGUUCUAAGCCCUUAACACUAUACAUUUAUGAAUGCAAUAUCUGAUGCUAUAUUUGAACUGCGUGUUGCAUAAUGUCCUGAGCCAUCAGUAAGUACAGCAUGUUGCUGUUUAACAUAGUGAGGAACAAAGUGGAGCUAUAUUACUAUAAUACAACCCUUCUUUCUAUUUAAAAUGUAGUUUAAUUAACUAAGAAACUGAUGAGAAAACCUGAUGGAGCUAUUUUUUUCUUUCAAGUGAUACUAGAACUAAAAUAUUAUCUUUUAAAAAGGUGGUUUUACAUAGAAAACAUAUUCAAAUAUUCUAGCAGGACCCAAACAGUUUAUUUUCAUUAAUGUUAAUGAAAAUUGGUUUUACUUCGGAGUAUAUUAGCAUAAACUUCAUUUCAGAAACAAAAAAAAAGCCUGGCAAAUGGUGCAUGCAUUUGAUCCCCACACUCCAGAGGCAGAGGCAAACAUAUUCCUGGGAGUUUGAAGGCAGUGUAAUCUACAUAGAGAAUUAUAAUAAAUCCAGGGCUAUCUGGUCAGUUCCUGUCUCUCCCCUCAAAAUGUU